UACGAAGGGUGCAAGCGUUACUCGGAAUUACUGGGCGUAAAGCGUGCGUAGGUGGUUUGUUAAGUCUGAUGUGAAAGCCCUGGGCUCAACCUGGGAAUUGCAUUGGAUACUGGCAGGCUAGAGUGCGGUAGAGGGUAGUGGAAUUCCCGGUGUAGCAGUGAAAUGCGUAGAGAUCGGGAGGAACACCAGUGGCGAAGGCGACUACCUGGACCAUUACUGACGCUGAGGCGCGAAAGCGUGGGGAGCAAACAGG
rnacentral:rRNA from 1 species